rnacentral:rRNA from 2 species
CAAGGUUUCCGUAGGUGAACCUGCGGAAAGGAUCAUUG